GGCUCGGUAGCUUACUUGGUAAAGCACUUGUCUAGCGAAUGAGGAUCAUGAGUUCAAAUCUCACCUGAGCUG
rnacentral:tRNA from 1 species